rnacentral:rRNA from 1 species
AUGAAUCCUAAUGUCCGGAAUACUCAUCCAUAUGCAGAGGGGAAUAGCAGGUUAUGCGUCUCAGUGAGAGACUACUACUGUUACAUGCUGCAGACACGACCUGGUAUAUUCAAUCCCAUACUCUGUGGAGCACGAUUGCUCCAACAAUGGGGGGUGGGCAUGUACAUCAAGAUUGAGAGUUCUUUGAAAUGGUAUAGGAAGAACCAAACAAAGAUCCGUGCCGACCUAUAUAAGGGAGUUGUUGUUGCAAUUACAUCUGGGGAGACCCGAGCAAGCGCUGUUGGAGUAAGGAUUGUGCUCCCUGGAACGUACCCAGGUGGCGACCGCGACAUGAAACGGAGACAUAUGGAUGCCAUGGCAAUUGUCCAUACCUACGGGAAGCCUGACAUCUUCUUGACCAUGACCUGCAACCCUAACUGGGAAGAGAUAAUGAAUGAGUUGUUUCCUGGUCAGACAACGCAAGACUGA